rnacentral:lncRNA from 1 species
GCUUAGGUUAGAAUUGAAAAUCACACCAGAAUCUGAUGUUUUCUCUCUCUAUAUUAUCGAGCGUAUUUUUGUGAGUAAUUAGAUACUUUGAGUGUUGCUAUAAGGUGCAAGUUUCCUUCAGCAUUAUAUCCGAUAUUCCAGUUAGAAGUGCUAUUCUUUUGAGGUAAAGGAUAAUAAGUAAGGGAUGGUAAGGGAUGUUAUUUUUCAAGUAAAUGAUGUUAUUUCCUUUAAUAUCAUUAUACCGAAAUAUUGAUAUGAGUUUUAUUGUGAAAUUUUUGCCUUUUUGUGUCGGAGUUACUAUUCACGUAUAUGACACUAUUCACGUAUAUGGUACUAUUCACGUAUACGGAACUAUUCACAUAUAUGAUGCUAUUUAUGAAUACAGAGUACUAUUCAUGGGUUAUUAUUCACGAGUUACUAUUCAUGGGGUACUAUUCAUGACAAAAUUAGUUUCUUUUUCUGACAAA